rnacentral:rRNA from 1 species
UACGAAGGGGGCUAGCGUUGUUCGGAAUUACUGGGCGUAAAGGGCGCGUAGGCGGUUUGGCCAGUCAGAUGUGAAAGCCCCGGGCUCAACCCGGGAACUGCGUUUGAUACUGCCAAGCUUGAAUUCGGGAGAGGUGAGUGGAAUUCCCAGUGUAGAGGUGAAAUUCGUAGAGAUUGGGAAGAACACCGGUGGCGAAGGCGGCUCACUGGACCGACAUUGACGCUGAGGCGCGAAAGCGUGGGGAGCAAACAGG